rnacentral:lncRNA from 1 species
UGUCUCUCUCAGGUAACUCAUCAUCAGAUUUAACAGAUGCUUGGGGACUUGACAAACAGCAUGAACAAACUGGCCUAUUUGAAGGGCAAUCUGCUGGUCUGUUUCACAUGUUGCAUGUAUAUGGAUUUAUUGCACACAUUUUGCACGGCACAAGUGCAACAGAUGGCCACUGAAUGUACCCAACACUGAGCAACACUGCACUGCAGAACACUUACACACAGCACCUGGAAGAGAGUUUGAAACGGCUCCAGGAUGAGGCAGAAGUGAGACUCAGGGAAGUUUAUCUGGAGUCACAGCAGGACAUUGUCUUUUGGGUUUUCUCUCGGGAUCGCCGGUGACCCG